UACGUAGGGUGCGAGCGUUGUCCGGAAUUACUGGGCGUAAAGAGCUCGUAGGUGGUUUGUCGCGUUGUUCGUGAAAACUCACAACUCAAUUGUGGGCGUGCGGGCGAUACGGGCAGACUGGAGUACUGCAGGGGAGACUGGAAUUCCUGGUGUAGCGGUGGAAUGCGCAGAUAUCAGGAGGAACACCGAUAGCGAAGGCAGCUCGCUGGGACGGUACUGACGCUGAGGUGCGAAAGCGUGGGGAGCGAACAGG
rnacentral:rRNA from 1 species